rnacentral:rRNA from 1 species
UACAGAGACUGCGAGCGUUAUUCGGAUUCACUGGGCGUAAAGGGUGCGCAGGCGGCCAAGUGUGUUAGGCGUGAAAGCCCGGGGCUUAACCUCGGAAUUGCACCUAAAACUACUUGGCUAGAGCAUUGGAGAGGGUAGCGGAAUUCACGGUGUAGCAGUGAAAUGCGUAGAUAUCGUGAGGAACACCAGAGGCGAAGGCGGCUACCUGGACAAUUGCUGACGCUCAGGCACGAAAGCGUGGGGGAGCAAAAGGG